CACGUAGGGGGCGAGCGUUGUCCGGAUUUAUUGGGCGUAAAGAGCUCGUAGGCGGUUCGAUAAGUCGGGUGUGAAAACUCUGGGCUCAACUCAGAGACGCCACCCGAUACUGUUGUGACUUGAGUCCGGUAGGGGAGUAUGGAAUUCCCGGUGUAGCGGUGAAAUGCGCAGAUAUCGGGAGGAACACCAGUGGCGAAGGCGGUACUCUGGGCCGGAACUGACGCUGAGGAGCGAAAGCGUGGGGAGCGAACAGG
rnacentral:rRNA from 1 species